rnacentral:rRNA from 1 species
CUCAGGAUGAACGCUGGCGGCGUGCCUAAUACAUGCAAGUCGAACGAGUUUUGGUCGAUGAACGGUGCUUGCACUGWGAUUCRACUUAAAACGAGUGGCGGACGGGUGAGUAACACGUGGGUAACCUGCCCUUAAGUGGGGGAUAACAUUUGGAAACAGAUGCUAAUACCGCAUAAAUCCAAGAACCGCAUGGUUCUUGGCUGAAAGAUGGCGYAAGCUAUCGCUUUUGGAUGGACCCGCGGCGUAUUAGCUAGUUGGUGAGGUAACGGCUCACCAAGGCGAUGAUACGUAGCCGAACUGAGAGGUUGAUCGGCCACAUUGGGACUGAGACACGGCCCAAACUCCUACGGGAGGCAGCAGUAGGGAAUCUUCCACAAUGGACGCAAGUCUGAUGGAGCAACGCCGCGUGAGUGAAGAAGGCUUUCGGGUCGUAAAACUCUGUUGUUGGAGAAGAAUGGUCGGCAGAGUAACUGUUGUCGGCGUGACGGUAUCCAACCAGAAAGCCACGGCUAACUACGUGCCAGCAGCCGCGGUAAUACGUAGGUGGCAAGCGUUAUCCGGAUUUAUUGGGCGUAAAGCGAGCGCAGGCGGUUUUUUAAGUCUGAUGUGAAAGCCCUCGGCUUAACCGAGGAAGCGCAUCGGAAACUGGGAAACUUGAGUGCAGAAGAGGACAGUGGAACUCCAUGUGUAGCGGUGAAAUGCGUAGAUAUAUGGAAGAACACCAGUGGCGAAGGCGGCUGUCUGGUCUGUAACUGACGCUGAGGCUCGAAAGCAUGGGUAGCGAACAGGAUUAGAUACCCUGGUAGUCCAUGCCGUAAACGAUGAAUGCUAGGUGUUGGAGGGUUUCCGCCCUUCAGUGCCGCAGCUAACGCAUUAAGCAUUCCGCCUGGGGAGUACGACCGCAAGGUUGAAACUCAAAGGAAUUGACGGGGGCCCGCACAAGCGGUGGAGCAUGUGGUUUAAUUCGAAGCAACGCGAAGAACCUUACCAGGUCUUGACAUCUUUUGAUCACCUGAGAGAUCAGGUUUCCCCUUCGGGGGCAAAAUGACAGGUGGUGCAUGGUUGUCGUCAGCUCGUGUCGUGAGAUGUUGGGUUAAGUCCCGCAACGAGCGCAACCCUUAUGACUAGUUGCCAGCAUUGAGUUGGGCACUCUAGUAAGACUGCCGGUGACAAACCGGAGGAAGGUGGGGAUGACGUCAAAUCAUCAUGCCCCUUAUGACCUGGGCUACACACGUGCUACAAUGGAUGGUACAACGAGUUGCGAGACCGCGAGGUCAAGCUAAUCUCUUAAAGCCAUUCUCAGUUCGGACUGUAGGCUGCAACUCGCCUACACGAAGUCGGAAUCGCUAGUAAUCGCGGAUCAGCACGCCGCGGUGAAUACGUUCCCGGGCCUUGUACACACCGCCCGUCACACCAUGAGAGUUUGUAACACCCGAAGCCGGUGGCGUAACCCUUUUAGGGAGCGAGCCGUCUAAGGUGGGACAAAUGAUUAGGGUGAAGUCGUA